AGAGUUUGAUCCUGGCUCAGGACGAACGCUGGCGGCGCGCCUAACACAUGCAAGUCGAACGGAGCUUAGAGAGCUUGCUUUUUAAGCUUAGUGGCGAACGGGUGAGUAACGCGUGAGUAACCUGCCCUAGAGUGGGGGACAACAGUUGGAAACGACUGCUAAUACCGCAUAAGCCCACGGUACCGCAUGGUACUGAGGGAAAAGGAUUUAUUCGCUUUAGGAUGGACUCGCGUCCAAUUAGCUAGUUGGUGAGGUAACGGCCCACCAAGGCGACGAUUGGUAGCCGGACUGAGAGGUUGAACGGCCACAUUGGGACUGAGACACGGCCCAGACUCCUACGGGAGGCAGCAGUGGGGGAUAUUGCACAAUGGGGGAAACCCUGAUGCAGCGACGCCGCGUGGAGGAAGAAGGUCUUCGGAUUGUAAACUCCUGUUGUUGAGGAAGAUAAUGACGGUACUCAACAAGGAAGUGACGGCUAACUACGUGCCAGCAGCCGCGGUAAAACGUAGGUCACAAGCGUUGUCCGGAAUUACUGGGUGUAAAGGGAGCGCAGGCGGGAAGACAAGUUGGAAGUGAAAUCCAUGGGCUCAACCCAUGAACUGCUUUCAAAACUGUUUUUCUUGAGUAGUGCAGAGGUAGGCGGAAUUCCCGGUGUAGCGGUGGAAUGCGUAGAUAUCGGGAGGAACACCAGUGGCGAAGGCGGUCUACUGGGCACCAACUGACGCUGAGGCUCGAAAGCAUGGGUAGCAAACAGGAUUAGAUACCCUGGUAGUCCAUGCCGUAAACG
rnacentral:rRNA from 1 species